GCUAGAGUUUCUCUCAUCUGGUCCUUGCACUUCAAUUAAAAGUAACCUUGACUGGGAGUAGGAUAUGAGUUUUGAUGAAAGAAUCACUGUAACAACCCCAAUUUUAAUGGAGGGUUAAUUUAUAAUUUACCAAAAGGGAAUUAAGUAUUAUUGAAAAGAAAAGGAAAAGAAAGAAAUGGGCCAAGCCCAAAAGGGGGGGAAAAAAAACAAAAGGAGUUUAAAGUCUGAUGGUCUAAACGUGAGAAACAAAAAUCAGAAAACAGAGAUAGAACGCAAAAAGGGAAACGCAGUGCAAGAAAAGAAAAGAAGGGAAGAAAAAAAGGGGAGAAAAAUAAGGAUUUUCAACCCAAAUUAUCAAGGUAAUGCGUGAAUUUUUAUGGUGAAAACAUGCGGAUUUUUUGAGGAAUUGAGAAAGUUUAGCCCUGGGGUUCUUCAACCUAAAUUAUUGAUUUGAAGGGGCAAACAACAUCAAAUUUUAGACUUCUAUAUAUUGUUGGAAUCGUCUUGUCGAAAGCUUCCCUAAAACAUAAGUCUUGUCAGGUUUUGAACACAUUGACCAGAGGGCGUUUUUGUCCUUUAAAAUUUGACUUUAACCGUUUAAGCCUCUAAAAAUAUAGAAGUGGUUUACCCUAAGGGUUUUGACCAUUCUAAAUCCGUUUUUGUGUAGUUUGAGGCAAUCCGGAGACUCGAGAAUGCAGUUUUGAUUUAUUGGGAAGUGUGCUUGAAUUGUGAAUUUAAGAUACUAUUGGCGACGACGAAGCUAGUAGCUCACGAGUUUGCUAGAGUUGAUCUAUUGGUUGAGCUUCAAUUUCCCAAUUCUGCCGGUAAUAAAUGAUGAGAUGAAGCCUUGUAGCUACUCUGAGUUAGAAAAGAUUACUGACUUCGAGUAUGAGAGCUGGAUUCAGAUGACUCAGGCAGGCAGAUUGCUCCGUGGAACCAUUACUGAAGGAUCUGAAAAAUGAUCAGUGAUUGUAAAAACAUGGGAUCUUCACCUACCUAAGGACAGAGAAGAUAUUUACCGUCCAUUCCAAUUUUGUGGAGAGAUUGAGUUAUAUGAAACAGCAAAUGCGCAUCCAUAUUUGGCGAAGUUGUCUAGAUGGCUUUGGAUGGGAUAAGCGGAUAAAUGUGGCAAUUCAACUUGCAGACCUCUUGGCAUGGUUGCAUGAAAAGAAGAUUGGAGUUGGCAGUGUCACUGCUUCAUGCAUUAUGAUAGAUAAGGAAGCGAAUAUUAAAGUGUUUGACUUUGGUUCCAUUUACCACCGUGUCAGCUACGAUUCUGAAAUUCGUCUUAAGUAUCUUGUUGGCAGGGGUGCUCCAGAGAUUAAUGUACAAGGCAUGUUUACUCAGACUUCAUCAUCUCUGAUGUUUCAUGUUAUAGAUGAAAGAUUUUCCUAUAAUCGUCUGUGUAAUAUGAUACGUAACACUUCAUCUACUUUGUUUUUUGGGUUCCAGAUUUCCUAUAUCAAAGCCUGCCCCACCUUUUUUUUUUCCUAUUUAUUUGCAUUUUUCCCCUUUUCCUUUCUCCUACCUAAUUAUCUCAGUACGAGCAAGUUAGGGUUAGUCGUCAGACAAGACAAUCUCUAUGUGGAAGCUAUGCCAGAGCUUAUGGUCAGCUAUAGCACUGUGACAUAAGACCAAAAUAACUAAAGCUGAAACUUAAGAUAGUUGAAAUGAAAGUGAGAACACAAACAUGAAAAUAUAUCUGUAACUUGCCCCCGUGGUGGAGUACUUGUCACCGCGGUUCACAUCCUUGAAAUCUGCUUUCUUGCAUUUCUUAGUUCCCUAUGCCAUAUAAUACUAUUUUUCUUGAGAAAUAACAAUGUUUUGGUCCAUUCUUCUAAUUGGAUCCUCCUUCUGAGAUUGCUAAUAUUUGUAGAUAACUUUUCGCUUCCACCUGUUUAAUGUAAUAAUCUCGUGGACGAGAUAUCUAGAACGUUUCAGGUUCCCUGUUGGUCAGUUUUGGAGGCAAAAUGAUGAAAUUUCUUAAAUCGGAAAUCAUCUCUAGCAUCUCUCUCUGCCUCUCUCUCUCGAUUGAUGAAAUUCUCUCUUCUAUGUUGAUAUUUGUUAUAUAGGUAUCUCGGGUCAUACAAAGUUCUGAUAACUUCUUUUGAAUUUUGUGGACCUUUUUCCUAUACAUUGAUUAUUAGUGGACAUUAAGCCAAGACUCAACUGAGAAUGCUAGGUCCCUUAUAUUUUUAUGUUCUUGACUGAAAUUAAGAACUAGUGAAAAGAAAUCUUUUUUAAGAAGUGACUCUUGAGCUUUCCCAGUGUGGAGAAAUUUCUCGUAUUUGUUGUUUCUACGUGUGCGUAGUCUCCUAUUUCUUCGAUGUAUAUUACUAUUUGUUUCUGCAUUUGUUUUUUGUCUUGCUAUUUGCUGUCCCUUUUAUUACAAUCCAUACUUCUCUUUUGAGUCGAGGGUCUAUCGGAAACAACCUCUCUACCCCACAAAGGUAGGGGUAAGGUCUGCGUGCAUCUUACACUCCCUAGACCACACUUGUGGGACUACACUUGGUUGUUGUUGCUGCUGUUGUUGUUUUUACAUGUGCAUGCAUAUUGUGGACACAUAAUUUAUCUGCUUUUCUCUGCUAAAAAGCAGUUUUAUUCCUAUUUUUCUGGACCAGUGCAGGUUGGACGAUGAAAUGUGAUGUUUAUAUAUUUGGUCUUCUACUGUGGGAGUUGAUAACCAAAACGGUGUUUGAUCAUCGUGGAAGAAAUGAUGCUAAAUUUGGCAGAAAAUGUUUGGUUAAUGUAUGCUUUGAAGAGGUUGAUGAUCAAACUGCUAUUGAUAUCACACGCCUCACUUGCCGUUGCUUGGAUGAACAUCCAGGCGAAAGGCCAACAAUGAAGAGCGUUUUUGAUGAUUUGGUAAAACUGAGGAUGGGAGAGAGGGUAGGGGGAAAACAAAAAAGAGAUGAAAACGAGGCCAUAAUAGAAUAAGCUAUCCCUUUGUUUAGCUAUUUUUAACUUUUGUAUAAACUAAAUUGCUAAGGUUGUUGCAAGGCAGUGAUGGAAGUCCCUUUGUUAUGUUAUUGAUGCUCCUACUUGCACAUGUUUGCGCUAUCUAUUUUUUUUUUUUUUCAAUUUAAUACAUCUAUUUGGUAAACACAAACAUAAGAAAACUCUCUCAACGGCAUCGAUUUGGUUGUUGUGGCUAAAGGGCAAAGAUUUUUUCACACUCUGU